UCCUCACAGUGUCCAUCAUUGCAACACAGGAGGCAAAUGAAAGCCAGGUCUCUGCACGAGUCUUUUUGAUACAGCUGUUUGGGAUCAGUGAACAUUUUUCCUCAUCAAAUAUCAUUUCGCUCCAUCGUGAGGAUAUUUCCCGAACACGUUUAUACUCUUAGAUACCUACAGGCAUUCUUUUACGCCCAAGAAAGACUGCCCCCCCCCUUUCCUAAAAAAAAAAGAAAAAGAAAUCAUUUGACGCACAGGAAGUCAUGAAUUUUACAUUUCGAGCAGCAGCUAAAGCUGUUUGUUUUGAAUAAAAAAAGCAGUGGUAGGCAGAAACAGCUCUCGAUGUGGCAGAACAGAAGAGAAAACGAAAACAGCCCCACCUACAGAGACUCGAAGCAAAUCUGAGGAAAAACACAUCACAGUGCUUCCCACCUGAGUUUGACUGACAGAGAAAUGAGGAGCGCAGACAAAUGGAGACAGAACCUCCAAGCGUGGCCUCGAAGCUUCAGGUCAGUGAUCUUAUUUGGCCCCUGCGCGGAGGAAGAAUUGCUUUUGGCUCGGCCGUGGACAACCAUCCGAACCAAGGGGAUUGGAUGCUGCUGGGACACCCCAAGAGCCAAUCAGAAAGGCCAUCGAUCAGUUCCCCUUAAUCUCACAGCUGGUGAGCACAUCCCCACUCCAAUCUAAAAACCGACAGCUUAGUCAGAGUGACAGGGGAUUGGCUGUCUUCCAAAGAUUUGAACCUCCAAGGAAACGGAUCCACAUUAGAACAGAAACAGGUGGUACUUCACUCACCUCUCACCACCAAACUAUCUGGCUGGAAUAAUUGGCUACAGAAAUAAAUAGAAGUGAAAAUG